rnacentral:rRNA from 1 species
UGCAAGUCGAGCGGAUGAUGGGAGCUUGCUCCCGGAUUCAGCGGCGGACGGGUGAGUAAUGCCUAGGAAUCUGCCUAGGGGUACGGAAUAACUCAGGGAAACUUGUGCUAAUACCGUAUACGACCUCAGGGUGAAAGAUUUAUCGCCCCUAGAUGGGCCCGCGCUGGAUUAGCUAGUUGGUGGGGUAAAAGCCUACCAAGGCGACGAUCCAUAGCUGGUCUGAGAGGAUGAUCAGCCACACUGGGACUGAGACACGGCCCAGACUCCUACGGGAGGCAGCAGUAGGGAAUCUUGGACAAUGGGCGAAAGCCUGAUCCAGCCAUGCCGCGUGAGUGAUGAAGGCCUUAGGGUUGUAAAGCUCUUUCGCCAGGGAAGAUAAUGACGGUACCUGGAUAAGAAGCCCCGGCUAACUUCGUGCCAGCAGCCGCGGUAAUACGAAGGGGGCUAGCGUUGUUCGGAAUUACUGGGCGUAAAGCGCACGUAGGCGGCAUUCCAAGUUGGAGGUGAAAUCCCCGGGCUUAACCUGNGAACUGCCUCCAAAACUGGAAAGCUCGAGUCCGAGAGAGGUGAGUGGAAUUUCCAGUGUAGAGGUGAAAUUCGUAGAUAUUGGAAAGAACACCAGUGGCGAAGGCGGCUCACUGGCUCGGUACUGACGCU